rnacentral:rRNA from 1 species
AAUUAACGCUGGCGGCAUGCCUAACACAUGCAAGUCGCACGAGAAAGCCCCUUUCGGGGGGCAAGUAAAGUGGCGCACGGGUGAGUAACGCGUGGAUAAUCUACCUCGUUCUGGGGGAUAACCCAUCGAAAGGUGGGCUAAUACCGCAUAAUCCGGCUGAAUUUUGGUUUGGCCGGCAAAGGUGGCCUCUUCAUGAAAGCUACCGGGAAGAGAUGAGUCCGCGUCCCAUUAGCUUGUUGGUAGGGUAACGGCCUACCAAGGCGACGAUGGGUAGCUGGUCUGAGAGGACGAUCAGCCACACUGGAACUGGUACACGGUCCAGACUCCUACGGGAGGCAG